rnacentral:rRNA from 1 species
UGCCCAGACUCCUACGGGAGGCAGCAGUGAGGAAUAUUGGUCAAUGGGCGGGAGCCUGAACCAGCCAAGUCGCGUGAGGGAAGACGGUCCUACGGAUUGUAAACCUCUUUUGCCGGGGAGCAACGGGGUCCUUGCGAGGGCCCGAUGAGGAUACCCGGAGAAAAAGCAUCGGCUAACUCCGUGCCAGCAGCCGCGGUAAUACGGAGGAUGCGAGCGUUAUCCGGAUUUAUUGGGUUUAAAGGGUGCGUAGGCGGGCUGUUAAGUCAGCGGUCAAAUGUCGGGGCUCAACCCCGGCCUGCCGUUGAAACUGGCUGUCUUGAGAUGUCGAGAGGUAUGCGGAAUGCGCAGUGUAGCGGUGAAAUGCUUAGAUAUUGCGCAGAACUCCGAUUGCGAAGGCAGCAUACCGGCGGCGAUCUGACGCUGAGGCACGAAAGCGUGGGUAUCGAACAGGAUUAGAUACCCCGGUA